AGAACGAACGCUGGCGGCAGGCUUAACACAUGCAAGUCGAGCGAGGACUUCGGUCCUAGCGGCGGACGGGUGAGUAACGCGUGGGAACGUGCCCUUUUCUUCGGAAUAGCCCUGGGAAACCGGGAGUAAUGCCGGAUACGCCCGAUCAUAGCGAUAUGGUUGGGGAAAGAUUUAUCGGGGAAGGAUCGGCCCGCGUUGGAUUAGGUAGUUGGUGGGGUAACGGCCUACCAAGCCGACGAUCCAUAGCUGGUUUGAGAGGAUGAUCAGCCACACUGGGACUGAGACACGACCCAGACUCCUACGGGAGGCAGCAGUGGGGAAUUUUGGACAAUGGGCGCAAGCCUGAUCCAGCCAUUCCGCGUGCAGGAUGAAGGCCUUCGGUUGUAACUGCUUUGUACGGUACGAAAAGACUCUUCUAAUUACAGAGAGUCCAUGACGGUACCGUAAGAAUAAGCACCGGCUAACUACGUCGCAGCAGCCGC
rnacentral:rRNA from 1 species